AUUGAACGCUGGCGGCAGGCUUAACACAUGCAAGUCGAGCGGAGCGAGGGUGCUUGCACCUUAGCUUAGCGGCGGACGGGUGAGUAAUGCUUAGGAAUCUGCCUAUUAGUGGGGGACAACAUUCCGAAAGGAAUGCUAAUACCGCAUACGCCCUACGGGGGAAAGCAGGGGAUGUUCGGACCUUGCGCUAAUAGAUGAGGCUAAGUCGGAUUAGCUAGUUGGUGGGGUAAAGGCCUACCAAGGCGACGAUCUGUAGCGGGUCUGAGACGGAUGAUCCGCCACACUGGGACUGAGACACGGCCCAGACUCCUACGGGAGGCAGCAGUGGGGAAUAUUGGACAAUGGGCGGAAGCCUGAUCCAGCCAUGCCGCGUGUGUGAAGAAGGCCUUUUGGUUGUAAAGCACUUUAAGCGAGGAGGAGGCUCUUAAGGUUAAUACCCUUGAUGAGUGGACGUUACUCGCAGAGUAAGCACCGGCUAACUCUGUGCCAGCCGCCGCCGUAACAC
rnacentral:rRNA from 1 species